rnacentral:rRNA from 1 species
GAUGAACGCUGGCGGCGUGCCUAAUACAUGCAAGUCGAGCGAACGGACGAGAAGCUUGCUUCUCUGAUGUUAGCGGCGGACGGGUGAGUAACACGUGGAUAACCUACCUAUAAGACUGGGAUAACUUCGGGAAACCGGAGCUAAUACCGGAUAAUAUUUUGAACCGCAUGGUUCAAAAGUGAAAGACGGUCUUGCUGUCACUUAUAGAUGGAUCCGCGCUGCAUUAGCUAGUUGGUAAGGUAACGGCUUACCAAGGCAACGAUGCAUAGCCGACCUGAGAGGGUGAUCGGCCACACUGGAACUGAGACACGGUCCAGACUCCUACGGGAGGCAGCAGUAGGGAAUCUUCCGCAAUGGGCGAAAGCCUGACGGAGCAACGCCGCGUGAGUGAUGAAGGUCUUCGGAUCGCAAAACUCUGUUAUUAGGGAAGAACAUAUGUGUAAGUAACUGUGCACAUCUUGACGGUACCUAAUCAGAAAGCCACGGCUAACUACGUGCCAGCAGCCGCGGUAAUACGUAGGUGGCAAGCGUUAUCCGGAAUUAUUGGGCGUAAAGCGCGCGUAGGCGGUUUUUUAAGUCCGAUGUGAAAGCCCACGGCUAAACCGUGGAGGGUCAUUGGAAACUGGAAAACUUGAGUGCAGAAGAAGAAAGUGGAAUUCCAUGUGUAGCGGUGAAAUGCGCAGAGAUAUGGAGGAACACCAGUGGCGAAGGCGACUUUCUGGUCUGUAACUGACGCUGAUGUGCGAAAGCGUGGGGAUCAAACAGGAUUAGAUACCCUGGUAGUCCACGCCGUAAACGAUGAGUGCUAAGUGUUAGGGGGUUUCCGCCCCUUAGUGCUGCAGCUAACGCAUUAAGCACUCCGCCUGGGGAGUACGACCGCAAGGUUGAAACUCAAAGGAAUUGACGGGGACCCGCACAAGCGGUGGAGCAUGUGGUUUAAUUCGAAGCAACGCGAAGAACCUUACCAAAUCUUGACAUCCUUUGACAACUCUAGAGAUAGAGCCUUCCCCUUCGGGGGACAAAGUGACAGGUGGUGCAUGGUUGUCGUCAGCUCGUGUCGUGAGAUGUUGGGUUAAGUCCCGCAACGAGCGCAACCCUUAAGCUUAGUUGCCAUCAUUAAGUUGGGCACUCUAAGUUGACUGCCGGUGACAAACCGGAGGAAGGUGGGGAUGACGUCAAAUCAUCAUGCCCCUUAUGAUUUGGGCUACACACGUGCUACAAUGGACAAUACAAAGGGCAGCGAAACCGCGAGGUCAAGCAAAUCCCAUAAAGUUGUUCUCAGUUCGGAUUGUAGUCUGCAACUCGACUACAUGAAGCUGGAAUCGCUAGUAAUCGUAGAUCAGCAUGCUACGGUGAAUACGUUCCCGGGUCU